CCCUUAGAUGUCCUGGGCCGCACGCGCGCUACACUGAUGCAUUCAACGAGUUCUACCUUGGCCGAGAGGCCUGGGCAAUCUUUUGAACCUGCAUCGUGAUAGGGAUAGAUUAUUGCAAUUAUUAAUCUUCAACGAGGAAUUCCUAGUAAGCGCAUGUCAUCAGCGUGCGUUGAUUACGUCCCUGCCCUUUGUACACACCGCCCGUCGCACCUACCGAUUGAAUGGUCCGGUGAAUUCUUCGGACUGUGGCUUUGGAUCGGUUUCGGCCGAGACGCUGCCGUGGGAAGUUGUUUAAACCUUACCAUUUAGAGGAAGGUGAANUCGUAACA
rnacentral:rRNA from 1 species